GAAACAGGCCGCCUUAUCGCUUCGGCCCGAUAGCUAUCGGGAUCGGAGAGGAAAGUCCGGACAACAUAGGGUGCCAUGCUUCUCAAAAGGAAGGGCUGCAGUUUUAAAGCUGUAGGACAGAGAGUGCCGCAGAGAUAUACCGCCACGUCCCGAUAGCUAUCGGGAUCGGGGUAAGGGUGAAAAGGUGGAGUAAGAGCCCACCGUGCUGGUGGUGACAUCAGUAGCUAGGUAAACCUCGUGGGUUGAAAUGUCAUGUAUACCAGGGCUGUCCCGAAUCCCGAUAGCUAUCGGGAUGGGAUGAAAGGGCUACCCGCUCGAUCCUGGAGGGUAGGCAGAAUAGAUAAAUGAUAAGGCUUCUCACUUUUGUGAGUUGACAGAAUCCGGCUUAUAGGCCUGUUUUUUUU
rnacentral:RNase_P_RNA from 2 species